GCAAGUCGAGCGCACCCCUUCGGGGGCGAGCGGCGGACGGGUUAGUAACGCGUGGGAACGUACCCUUCUCUAAGGAAUAGCCUCUGGAAACGGAGAGUAAUACCUUAUACGCCCUUCGGGGGAAAGAUUUAUCGGAGAAGGAUCGGCCCGCGUUAGAUUAGAUAGUUGGUGGGGUAAUGGCCUACCAAGUCUACGAUGGGUAGCUGGUCUGAGAGGAUGAUC
rnacentral:rRNA from 1 species